UACGGGGGGAGCAAGCGUUGUUCGGAUUUACUGGGCGUAAAGGGCGCGUAGGCGGCCUUCGCAAGUCAGUUGUGAAAUCUCCGAGCUUAACUCGGAAAGGUCAACUGAUACUGCGGGGCUAGAGUGCGGAAGGGGCAACUGGAAUUCUUGGUGUAGCGGUGAAAUGCGUAGAUAUCAAGAGGAACACCUGCGGCGAAGGCGGGUUGCUGGGCCGACACUGACGCUGAGGCGCGAAAGCUAGGGGAGCGAACGGG
rnacentral:rRNA from 1 species